rnacentral:rRNA from 1 species
CGCGUAGGCGGUAAGAUGUGUGUGAUGUGAAAGCCCUGGGCUUAACCUAGGAAGAGCAUCGCAAACUAUCUAACUGGAGUAUAUGAGAGGGUGGCGGAAUUUCCGGUGUAGCGGUGAAAUGCGUAGAGAUCGGAAGGAACGUCAAUGGCGAAGGCAGCCACCUGGCAUAAUACUGACGCUGAGCGCAAAGCGUGGGAGCGAACA